CUGGCUCAGGAUGAACGCUGGCGGCGUGCUUAACACAUGCAAGUCGAACGGAGUUAAGAGUGGAAGUUUUCGGAUGG
rnacentral:rRNA from 1 species